rfam:Mesotoga prima MPI_scaffold_8944, whole genome shotgun sequence.
GCCGAGGUGGUGGAAUUGGCAGACACGCAUGGUUGAGGUCCAUGUGGGCAGUUUAGCCUAUGCGGGUUCAAGUCCCGCCCUCGGCA